GUUAUCACUCUGGCAGCACAUAUAUUAAUAUUGGAAUGAUACAGAGAAAAUUAGCAUGGUCCUGGCUUAGGGAUGACAUGCAAAUUCAUGAGAUUUGUUCUAUAUUUUU